rnacentral:rRNA from 1 species
GAUGAACGCUGGCGGCGUGCCUAAUACAUGCAAGUCGAGCGAAGGGACGAGAAUCUCGCUUCUCUGAUGUUAGCGACGGACGGGUGAGUCACACGUGGCUAACCUACCUAUAAGACUUAGGUAACUGCGGGAAACCGGAGCUCAUACCGUAUAUUAUUUUGAACCGCAUGGUUCAGAAGUGAAAGACGGUCUAGCUGUCACUUAUAGAUGUAUCCGCGCUGCAUUAGCUAGUUGGUAAGGUAACGGCUUGCCAAGGCAACGAUGCGUAGCCGACCUGAGAGGGUGAUAGGCCACACGGGAGCUGAGACACGGACCAGAGUACUACGGGAGGCAGCAGUAGGGAAUGGUAGGCAGUGGGCGAAAGCCUGACGGAGCAACGGCGAGUGAGUGAUGAAGGUGUCGGGAUCGUAAAACUCUGUUACUAGGGAAGAACAUCUGUGAAUGUAACUGUGGAGAUCUUGACGGUACCUACACAGAAAGCGCCGGCUAACUACGUG